GUGGAGGGGGGUAUCCCUAUUCACAAGAGCCACUUCCUGUUUAUGGUUUAUGACGGGUCAUAAAACCCAUUGUGUAGGGAUGACAGGUGUAAUGCCUGUGGUGGACCUGCAGGGGUCGCUGGGGUGCGGGAUCUGUAUAGGCAGAGGUGUGUAUGUGGGUGUGAUUAGUGUAUGCAUGUGUGUGUGUGUGUGUGUGUGUGUGUGUGUGUGUGUGUGUGUGUGUGUGUGUGUGUGUGUGUGUGUGUGUGUGUGUGUGUGUGUGUGUGGUAUGCGAGGCCAGGGCGGCUGGUCUGUAGGGGUGUUAACAGGAAGAUCACAGUGCUGUUGGAAGGACGGCCAGCCGGCAAUGUGGACAGGGGGGGCGAGGCCCUUGAUGGCGGAAGUGGGCAUACAGACGAUGUCAUAGAGAGUGUGAGGUGGGACACAGUAGAUUACGUGAAAAGCGCUAUAUAAAUUGAAUCUAUUAUUAUUAUUAACAGAUAUUCUAGUGAUUUUCAUCUAACAUGGUGUAUUUGGAUCAACUUUAUUUUACCAUUAGUAGAUUGUCUGUCUAUGAUGCGUUGAGUGGGCGUAGGCCUGUAGGACCUACGUGUGCGUGGGUCCAGUACCUAUUGGACAGGCGUCUAUGACGUCGGGGCCUUAGGUGUGAAUGUCUACCGAGGGACUGCUAUCAGGCAUAAAUAUACGGGGCCCCGUGAUACGGGAGCGUACGACCUCCGACCCUGACGUUAGACACGCUAUUCUAAGUUAGUAAACGCGUCGUAGCAGUUGGAAGAAAAAAAAACAGCGAUCCGUCCUGCACAACUAUGCCGACUGACUGUAAGUAUUCAUAUGAGUGUAUCAUGAUUAUAUUAUGACUAUGUCUAUGUGAAUCAGCUGUUUAUAUCUGACCGUAGCUGCGAUUACUUCACAGCGAAUUGCGGUGCCGGAGGCGAGAGCGUGAAACAGCAGCAGGGUCCACGUGGAAGUUUGCCUGAUAUUCGGCUCAACAUUCAAAGACCGAUUCUAGCAGACCAGACUAAUGUGCUGACAAGCGGUAGUUUUGUACCUAUCGAGGCCAAUGUCAUUCAGCGAACCCCCGGACCAAAUCGACUGUCCAAGAAGAAUUUGAAAAGAUCGGCGGGGGUAGUGGUGGCUAUACCCUGUACACCACUGGCCAUAGAACAGCUACAAAUUCCUUAUAAAAAGGCUCGCAAGGAUGCCACACAUAAUGGUUUAACUCCGGAGAAUAUUACCCAGGUUAUACAGGCAGUCAUAAAUCCGCAAAUUGCGCCACAUGGAGCGGCAUGGACUGAUCCCAAACACCGUGUGAUCGGGGACGUGGA